CCGAAGGAAAAUAAAAGUCCAAGAAAAUGAUUAUAUGUAAUGACUCUCAAGGAUAGACAGCUAAAGACUGGAGGAGGAGACAUUGGGAAAGCUUUCACUUUCAGCUUUUCUCAGCGGAAAUUGGGCUCUGAAAUCGGUAAGCAAAAACAAGUUGCCAAUAAAACCCUCUUGAGUCUUGGGUUUGAAAACCUAUACUAUUUCUAGUAUUUUAAGACCAGGCAGCAAAUCCUAUGCAUUUUGACCCUCACCACCCUACAUUGACUUGCCUCUUCUUCAAACCCCUACUAGGCUUCUAAACAAACAACCAAAAAGUUGAUAUGAUAUUAGGACCGUCCCCAAAAAAGAGCAUAAGAAAAGGAGGGUAAUCCCCAUCUCCAGUCACCUCUCACAGCGAGCUCCUGCUUAAAGUACUGCUUCAUCACCUCCAGCUUUUGAAGGAGAGACAAAAGACAGCUCUAGUUUAUGUUCCAUUUCCAUGCCAUGAUCAAUUGGGUUACAAGGAAGAAAGAAAUGGGGGUUCUAAGAAGAGAGCUGGCUUGCUUAUAUCUUCUUCUUCUGUUGAUAAUGUCACCGUUAGAGACUCCAUGUUAUGCUGUUGGGUAUGGAAAGUUUAGUAGCUUCAGAGGUGGUUCUAGUUUUGAGCUGAAGAACAAUCCUGCCAAGUCUAAUAAUAUCGGUGGCCUGAAAGGAAACGCAGAUAAAGAUGGUAAUGAAAUUUUUGGUGCUGAGAAGAGGAAAGUCUAUACAGGACCAAAUCCUCUACACAACAGAUAAGUUAUUAUUACAGCUAGUCGUCACCAAGCUUGAAUUCCGUUUCAGUUAUAAGAUUUUUUUGUUCUGUUUUCUUUCUUCUGCUUUCCUUCCUUUUCUGAACAUUUUGAAGCUUUUGCUGGAAAUCUCCACAGUAAAUGUUUCAAGUAGUCUUACAGAUGUAUAUGAGAGUUUAGGGUAUGAUAUUUUGGUUGAGGAAAUAUACUUAUAUUUGUUAAAAUUAUAAAAGAAGAAAUUAAUACUCCUUGCAAAUAUUACUCAUGAAGCAUCAAUGGAGUUGUUGGUGUCGUAAAUUCUGACCUGCUUUCCAGAUUUGCUGCGACUUGGCUUGUGGCCAUUAGUGCUGUUUGUUGCUUCUGCUGAAAAGGGAAAGGAACCGUGUUGCGGUGGUCUAAUACUAUACUUUACACUGUUUCAGAUUACUAGGUAUCUUAGAUUUAGCACGUCUUUAAAAGAGAAAUUUGUGUGCGCUCUAGGCACUAAGCAAUACAGGGUUUGCUCGUGCAUGACCAUGCACAUGUAUGCAAGUGUAUGUAUGUAUGUAUGUAUGUAUAAUGUAUGCAUGCACAAAAGAACUGUGCUCCAGGACUUGGCAUGGGAAGGUGGAUCCUAAUGUACAGUACAAACAUUAAUGACUCAUGCCAUGCCUGCACCAAUGGCCAUUUCUUUGAA